UUGUUAAGUCAGAUGUGAAAGCCCGGGGCUCAACCUCGGAACCGCAUUUGAAACUGGCAGGCUAGAGUCUUGUAGAGGGGGGUAGAAUUUCAGGUGUAGCGGUGAAAUGCGUAGAGAUCUGAAGGAAUACCAGUGGCGAAGGCGGCCCCCUGGACAAAGACUGACGCUCAGAUGCGAAAGCGUGGGUAGCAAACAGGAUUAGAUACCCUGGUAGUCCACGCCGUAAACGCUGUCUACUUGGAGGUUGAGGUUUUAGACUUUGGCUUUCGGCGCUAACGCAUUAAGUAGACCGCCUGGGGAGUACGGCCGCAAGGUUAAAACUCAAAUGAAUUGACGGGGGCCCGCACAAGCGGUGGAGCAUGUGGUUUAAUUCGAUGCAACGCGAAGAACCUUACCUACUCUUGACAUCCAGCGAAGCCUUUAGAGAUAGAGGUGUGCCUUCGGGAGCGCUGAGACAGGUGCUGCAUGGCUGUCGUCAGCUCGUGUUGUGAAAUGUUGGGUUAAGUCCCGCAACGAGCGCAACCCUUAUCCUUGUUUGCCAGCACGUAAUGGUGGGAACUCCAGGGAGACUGCCGGUGAUAAACCGGAGGAAGGUGGGGACGACGUCAAGUCAUCAUGGCCCUUACGGGUAGGGCUACACACGUGCUACAAUGGCCGGUACAAAGGGCAGCGAGCUCGCGAGAGUCAGCAAAUCCCUUAAAGCCGGUCUCAGUCCGGAUCGGAGUCUGCAACUCGACUCCGUGAAGUCGGAAUCGCUAGUAAUCGUGGAUCAGAAUGCCACGGUGAAUACGUUCCCGGGCCUUGCACACACCGCCCGU
rnacentral:rRNA from 1 species